rnacentral:rRNA from 1 species
AAAGGUUGACCUCGAAUCAGGUAGGAAUACCCGCUGAACUUAAGCAUAUCAAUAGCCGGAGGAA